UACGUAGGGGGCAAGCGUUGUCCGGAAUUAUUGGGCGUAAAGAGCUCGUAGGCGGUCUGCCACGUCCGCUGUGAAAACCUAGGGCUUAACCCUGGGCUUGCAGUAGAUACGGGCAGACUAGAGGUAGGUAGGGGAGAAUGGAAUUCCCGGUGUAGCGGUGAAAUGCGCAGAUAUCGGGAGGAACACCGGUGGCGAAGGCGGUUCUCUGGGCCUUACCUGACGCUGAGGAGCGAAAGCGUGGGGAGGCAAACAGG
rnacentral:rRNA from 1 species